CGGGCUAUAGCGCAGUUGGUAGCGCGCAUCGUUCGGGACGAUGAGGCCGGCAGUUCGAGUCUGCCUAGCCCGA
rnacentral:tRNA from 1 species